AAAUUAAUAUACUUUAAUCCAUCCAGUAAAUAUAUGAUACAAAUCAACCUUUUCAGUUUUUAAGCCACCGAAUUUGACAUUUCGUUUAUGUAACCAUGUUCAUAUUUCUAGCUCUCUCUUAUCGUAAUUUAGUCAUAUUCUUCAUUUGAGACUUAAUGCCUCGAGUAAUGUCGAGGACAUCUAACAAAGUGGCCAAUUAUAUUAAGUUCUACCUUGCCAAUAGAUAUGGCAUUUUGUGUUUCUUUUUGUAAACAAUACAUUAGUGCUGACAUUUAUUUGUUUCUUUUUGUUUUCCGCUGUACUUACAAGGUCUGCAUUUCUGGAUGGAAAUUUUACGUAAGCGAAGUUUGAGUCAUUUUUUAUUUUUAUUGUUGCUUGAUCAAUCUAUGAUCUAUUUCAUUUGUGAUUCUUAACUUCAGCUAGAUGGAUGCAUAUAACAUGUUUUAUUGAAAUAAAUAUCUCAAUCACGUGUACUUGUACAGAAACUCGAAGGCACUAAUAUUGGAUUGACUGUUGCUACUCUAUUGACCAUGGUAUUUUUUAUGCACAUAUUUGUUCAUCUGUGAUAUUUUAUUUGUUAGAUUUCAGAUACACAUUCCUCUAAUAAUAUUUCCUUACCAAUUAAUGAAUUUAGACAUGAAUAUUUCCAGUUCUCUUUUUUUUUUUUUUUUGGUUAUAUUCUCUAACUCAUUUUUACCAUUUCGUUGUUUUUGUUUUGAGGAAAUUGAGCAUCUCUUUAAAGUACAUGUAUACUAUAAACGUGUCGCGUUUGGUGGUUUUUGGAGCUUCAAGUUUGUUUGGUUACUUGUGGUUGUUUUAGUUAUGAGGAUGUAGCUGGUACGUACAAAAGUUGUUUGCUCGACAAAGAACAAGAAAAACCUCUUUUGAUAAACCAAGCAAACAUUCGUCUAAGCCUCCUUCAAGUGGUGCUUGCAAUCCUCAUUUAUAGCUGAGAGGUUACUAUACAGAAGGCUAUGUUUUAUCAUGGAGUGAAUUCAAGCAAGGUGAUCUGUUGAGUGGUUCAAAUGACUCCCAAAUAUACUUGUGGGACAUCAAUGCAACUUGAAGGAAUAAGACUCUUAAUGAAAUGCAGAAUUUUAAGACAUACAAUUCUUGGUCAUUUCGAAACCUCCAAAUAUGUGAUUUGCAAUCAUGGGUGAAAUCUCAAGAAUA